GCCAGGCGCAGUGGUACACACCUGUAAUCCCAGCAACUUGGGAGGCUGAGGCAGGAGGAUCACAAGUUCAAAGCCAGCCUCAGCAACUUAGCAAGGCUCUAAGCAACUCAGUGAGACCCUGUCUCUA
rnacentral:sRNA from 1 species